GGCAUUGUGCCGGAUAAUCGGGCUACUUUGAUGUAGUAGCUAAUGUUGGUAAAGUCCUUCUGGUGCCA
rnacentral:tRNA from 1 species